GCCGGGUUGGCCGAACGGUUUCAGGCGGCGGGCUGCAAAUUUACCUAGCUUCGAUAGAGUGAAGCUGAUACCCGCAGUAUGUGGGUUCAAUUCCCACACCCGGCU
rnacentral:tRNA from 1 species